rnacentral:rRNA from 1 species
CGGCGUGCCUAACACAUGCAAGUCGAACGGGGAUGUGCGGAAGCCUUCGGGCUAAAGCGCAUUCCAGUGGCGGACGGGUGAGUAACGCGUGAGGAACCUGCCUCGAACUGGGGGAUAACAGCGAGAAAUCGUUGCUAAUACCGCAUAAGACCACAUGGCCGCAUGGCCAAGGGGUCAAAGAUUAUAUCGGUUUGAGAUGGACUCGCGUCUGAUUAGCUAGUUGGUGGGGUAACGGCCUACCAAGGCAGCGAUCAGUAGCCGAGCUGAGAGGCUGAUCGGCCACACUGGGACUGAGACACGGCCCAGACUCCUACGGGAGGCAGCAGUGGGGAAUAUUGGGGACCAAGUGGGGGAAACCCUGACCCAGCAACGCCGCAUGAAGGAAGUAAGGUUUUCGGAUUGUAAACUUCUGUCCGUUGGGGACGAAACAAAUGACGGUACCCAAGGAGGAACGCCCCGGCUAACUACGUGCCAGCAGCGGC